rnacentral:rRNA from 1 species
GCCCAACAACUUCAGCCAAAUAAAGCCUACAAAACCCAAAAACACCACCAUAUAAACCAAAACAUUUUUCCGGCCAGUAAAUGAGAUUAAACCCCCACCAUUUGACCUUACAAGUACCGCAAGGGAACAAUGAAAGAAUAAUGAAAAAUUUUAAGCAUAAAACAGCAAUGACCAACCCCUGUACCUCCUGCAUCAUGGUUUAGCAAAACCCCUUCAGACAAAGCGAACCUUUAGCCUGCCCCCCCGAAACCAAACGAGCUAUUUUUGGGCAGCUAUUAACUCAGAGCACACCCGUCCCUGUAGCAAAAGGGUGGGAAGACCUAAAAAUAGAGGCAAAAAGCCAACCGAGCUUGGUGAUAGCUGGCUGCUCAAUAAAAGAAUUUAAGUUCAACUUUAGGCACACAUGAACAGACACUUCAAAUUCAUAAUUUGCUUCCUAAAGAAAAUCAAUGGGGGUACAGCCCCAUUGAACCGGAAUACAGCCCGAACUGAGAGUAAACCUACCCCAUCAAUUUUAGUAGGCUUCAAAGCAGCCACCAUACUAAUCGCGUUAUAGCAUUUGACCAAAAUAAUUCCAACAACCCAAACUUAACCUCCCGACAUACUCCGAGCUAUCCUAUAUUAAUAUAGAAAUAACAAUGCUAAAAUUAGUAAUAAGAAACAUUAAUUUCUCUCUGCAUCCCCUUAAAUCAGAAUAGAAAAUCUACUGAUAAUUAACAACACUACAUGACCCAAUACUGCAUCCUAGAAAAAGUCAUCCAAAAUCUGUUAACCCAACACAGGCAUGCAUAAAAGAAAGGCAAAAAGCCGUAAAAGGAACUCGGCAACAACCUGUCCCAACUGUUUACCAAAAACAUAGCCUUUAGCUUUACAAGUAUUAAAGGUCCCGCCUGCCCAGUGACUCUUUAAACGGCCGCGGUAUCCUAACCGUGCAAAGGUAGCAUAAUCACUUGUCCCCUAAAUAGGGACUAGAAUGAAUGGCUAAAUGAGGACAAAACUGUCUCUUACGGUCUGGCCAAUGAAAUUGAUCCUCCAGUACAAAAGCUGGAAUUAACCCAUAAGACGAGAAGACCCUGUGGAGCUUCAAAACCAAAAUCACUAAAUAUGCUUCUUGGAUUUUUAGUUGGGGCGACUUUGGAGCAAAAAAAACCCUCCAAAAUAUGAAUCUUUAUCAAGACUAACACACCAAAAAUAAUUCUAUAGACCCAGCAAUAUUUUUAUUGUCUGAUCAAUGAACCAAGUUACCCCAGGGAUAACAGCGCCAUCCUCUUCUAGAGUCCUUAUCGACAAGAGGGUUUACGACCUCGAUGUUGGAUCAGGACACCCCUAUAGUGCAGCCGCUAUAAAAGGUUCGUUUGUUCAACGAUUAAAGUCCUACGUGAUCUGAGUUCAGACCGGAGAAAUCCAGGUCGGUUUCUAUCUAUGCAGCACUAUUUUUAGUACGAAAGGACCAAAAUAGUGGGACCCAUGCUAAACAAACGUCCCAACCACAACUACUGAUUUUUACUGAAGUAGUUAACAGACCCACCCCAUUUUACCAAAACCAGGUUU